UAAAAGGAUCUGCCGUCCUGCUCAACCUCCUUUUCAGUUGAGCACGCCUGGGUGUAUCGGAUCAUGUCAGGGGACUCUGUGGAUUUUAAAAGCUUUAGAGACAGACCAUGGAGGCCUGGAGGGAAUGGAGCCUGAUGGUAUUAUUGAGAGCAACUGGAAAGAAAUUACCGAAAAUUUUGAUGACAUGAACCUGAAGGAGGCCCUCGAGGGGAAUCUGUGCCUGGUUUUGAGAAACCAUCGGCAGUUCAGCAAAGGGCAAACCUUCUAUGCAUCAUAGGUAUGAUUUUUCAAUUCAGAUCUUUCUAAGGUCUGUUAUGAGCUUGUGUUCAGAUCUGUUUUGAGUGACAUGAUGCUUUACCAUCUUUCGGGACUGACCUUAACUGGAGAUAUCUUUUCUAACUGAUCACUCAAUAGCCUAAUUAUAUUAAUGGGACACUGCCGUCCUCUGUGCUUUGCAGUUGCAUAUACUUUUUUCUCAAUGCAAAGUUAUUAUUCUCUGAAGUGAACAAGAGCAUUUGCUUUGGGCUUCUGGGGAAACGACUUG